GUGUCGGUGUGCAAUUGGUUAACACGUGCCCACGGAACGGGUGGAGUGCGGGUUCGAUUCCCGUCUGAUGCU